AGCUACAGGCUUAACACAUGCAAGUCGAGGGGAAACGAUAUUGGAAGCUUGCUUCCGAUAGGCGUCGACCGGCGCACGGGUGAGUAACGCGUAUCCAACCUGCCCACCACUUGGGGAUAACCUUGCGAAAGUAAGACUAAUACCCAAUGAUAUCUCUAGAAGACAUCUGAAAGAGAUUAAAGAUUUAUCGGUGAUGGAUGGGGAUGCGUCUGAUUAGCUUGUUGGCGGGGUAACGGCCCACCAAGGCAACGAUCAGUAGGGGUUCUGAGAGGAAGGUCCCCCACAUUGGAACUGAGACACGGUCCAAACUCCUACGGGAGGCAGCAGUGAGGAAUAUUGGUCAAUGGACGAGAGUCUGAACCAGCCAAGUAGCGUGCAGGAAGACGGCCCUAUGGGUUGUAAACUGCUUUUAUAAGGGAAUAAAGUGAGUCUCGUGAGACUUUUUGCAUGUACCUUAUGAAUAAGGACCGGCUAAUUCCGUGCCAGCAGCCGCGGUAAUACGGAAGGUCCGGGCGUUAUCCGGAUUUAUUGGGUUUAAAGGGAGCGUAGGCCGGAGAUUAAGCGUGUUGUGAAAUGUAGACGCUCAACGUCUGCACUGCAGCGCGAACUGGUUUCCUUGAGUACGCACAAAGUGGGCGGAAUUCGUGGUGUAGCGGUGAAAUGCUUAGAUAUCACGAAGAACUCCGAUUGCGAAGGCAGCUCACUGGAGCGCAACUGACGCUGAAGCUCGAAAGUGCGGGUAUCCAACUGGAUUAAAUACCCUGGUAUUCCGCACGGUAAACGAUGGAUUGCGCGUUGUUGGUCUGAAUAGGUCAGCGGCCCAAGGGAAAGCAUUAAGCAUCCCACCUGGGGAGUACGCCGGCAACGGUGAAACUCAAAGGAAUUGACGGGGGGCCCGCACAAGCGGGGGAACAUGUGGUUUAAUUCGAUGAUACGCGAGGAACCUUACCCGGGCUUGAAUUGCAGAGGAAGGAUUUGGAGACAAUGACGCCCUUCGGGGCCUCUGUGAAGGUGCUGCAUGGUUGUCGUCAGCUCGUGCCGUGAGGUGUCGGCUUAAGUGCCAUAACGAGCGCAACCCCUCUCCUUAGUUGCCAUCAGGUCAAGCUGGGCACUCUGGGGACACUGCCACCGUAAGGUGUGAGGAAG
rnacentral:rRNA from 1 species